UUUUUUUUUUUUUUUUUUUUAAGAUUUUUAUUCAUGAGAGACAGAGAGAGAGGCGGAGACAAAGGAGGAAGCAGGCUCAAUCCCAGGACCCUGGGAUCAUGAGCCGAGCCAAAGGCAGAUGAUUAACCAACUGAACCACCCAGGUGCCCUACUAGAGGGCAUUUAAGUUUGUCCCCAGUGUUGAGCUUAUAUAAACAGUAUUGUAAUUAACAUUGUUUUUUUUACAUGAUCCUUCAUUUACAAGUUCAGGUGCUUCUCUAGGUUAGCUGUUGGGAGUAGAAUGCUGUGUCACAGAGCAUAGAUGUUUUAUUUUUAUUUUUUUAAAUAUUGUAUUUAUUCAUUUAUGAGAGACACACAGAGAGAGGCAGAGACACAGACAGAGGGAGAAGCAGGCUCCCUGUGGGGAGCCUGAUGCAGAACUUGAUCCCAGGACCCUGGGAUUGUGACCUGAGCCGAAGGCAGAUGCUCAAUCACUGAGCCACCCAGGUGGCCUAGCAUAGACAUUUUAAAAUUUGAUGCAACCUACCUGCUGUCCUAACUCCCAACACUAGAUACUUUUUUCUCUUCCAGCUUUAUUGAGAUAUCAUCAUAUCAUAUAACAUAUAACAUUCUUAAGUUUCAAGAGCACGAUGUAAUGAUGUGAUACACACAUAUAUUGUGAAAUGAUUGGCACUGUGAGGUUACCACAUCCAUCACCUUACAUAAUUACCAUUUUUUGUUGCUGUUGUUAAGGUGAGAACACUUAAGAGAUCUACUCUUUUAGGGGCUCUCAAAUACACAAUAUCAUAAUAACUGUAGUUGCCUUGCUGAAGGUCAGAUCCCCAGAACUUAUCUCUCUUAUAACUGGAAGUUUGUAUUUUUUGACCAACAUCACCUCAUUUUCCCCAUCCCCUAGGCCCUGGCAACCGCCAGUCUACUCUGUUUGUGUUUCUGUGAGUGUGGCUUUUUAGGUUCUGCAUAUAAAUGAGACCAUACAGUAUUUGUUUAAUCCCUGUCUUUUUGAUAACAGCCAUUCUAAUAGGUGUCAGGUGAUAUCUCAUUGUGGUUUUGAUUUGCAUUUCCCUGAUGAUGAGUGAUGCUGAGUACAUUUUCGUGUACUUGUUGGCCAUUUGUAUACCUUCUUUGGAAGUCUAUUCAGGUCAAUUGUUUGGAAGAGUUUGAGAAGGAUUGGCAUUAAUUCCUCUUUAAAUGUUUGGUAGCAUUCGCCAGUGGAGUUAGCUAGCCCUGGGCUUUUCUUUGUUGGGAGUUUUUGCUUAUUGACUUAAUCUCCCUACUUGUUAUUGGUCUGUUUAUGUUUCCUAAUUUUUCAUGAUUCAGUCUUGGUAGGUUAUGUAUUUCUAGGAAUUUAUGCAUUUCUUUUAGGCUGUCCAAUCUGUUGGCUUAUAAUUGUUCAUAGUAGUCUCUUGCAUUUCUGUGGCAUCAUCUGUAAUGUCUCCUUUCAUAUAUAAUCUUAUUUAUUCGAGUCUUUGCUCUUUUUUUUUUCCUGGUAAGUCUAGCUAAAGGUCCAAUACUGAUUAUUAUUCGUCUCUUUAAUGUUGGCUAAUUUCAUGAAAAAACAAUUAUAUUUUAGUAUUUUAAUUGCAUUUCUCUGUUUAUAGCGAGAUUUGGCAUAUUUUCCUUUGCUGUUUGCCAUUUAUAUUUCUUUUACAUUUUGUGCACCUUUUUAAUUAAAUUGUUCACCUUUUUUCUUAUUGUAAGAUUGUUGAUACUUGUUGAAAACCAACCUCUGUGCUCCCGAGCCAAAAAUAUGUAACCCAAGGGCAGAGGUAUAGUAGAGGAAGAAGCUGGUUUAUUCCUUUGCCGGGCAAAGGAGGCUACAACAGGCUAAGGCCUUCAAAAACUGCAAGACCCCAGAGGAAGGGGCUGGGGGUUUAUAGGGAAAUAUAGGAUCUAGCCGGUUUCGACAGAAAUUGUGCUGCCAGCCUCCUUCGUCGUGUCUUGAGGGCGGUACUGGGCUCCACUCGAGGGCGGCAUGGCCUGGAAGAAGCAUUAGUGCAGCCAUUUUGUUUUUUGUUCACCUUUAUGCUCUUAAGUGGUUUCAUCUUGACUGUUAAUCCUUUGUUCUAACUGCUGCAGAUAUUUUAAUAUACCACUUUCUCUUAACAUUGUGAUAUUGUUUAUUGAAUUAUUACUCUGCCCAGGCUUUUAGUCAUUUUCUUCUUCAUGGCUUCUGUGUUUUUGUACCUUAUGUAGGUCUUCCUUACUCCAUGGUUAUAAAUAUGUGAAAACCAUUUAUUAAAGUUGCAGUGAGUUGGGACUGUCCUGUUGGCCAGAAUCUGCUGGGCCUUAGUCACUCAGAGAAGCCCUUGUGUGUGGAGGUAGGCAGGGGGAUGGGGAGGGUGGGGGAAGCUGUGUUUUGGAGUCCUACACCUCUAUGUUUCCCUAACCUAUCAGGGCAAGAAACAGAACCAGAACCUAUGGCUUGUGGAUAGUCACUGCUGCCAUGAAGCAAGUCUAGGCAGGGUGCCUUUAGCAAGCACUGUUGCUGCCCACUGUACCUCAGAAGAGUGCAGGAAGUGGGAGGCCACCUCGAAGACUCACAUUUGGGAGAGGUCUAUCCCCUCGAGCCCAAAGUCCUUGACAUGCUCAGCAGUCCCAGAACCAUGCAGGUGGGUGUAACAGGAGAGGUAGUCUCAGGAUGCGCUGCCAUGUAGUAGAAAACACAGUCACUGGGUUAUGGUUCUGAUGCUAAACGUGGAAACAUCUGUCAUCACAGGGUCUCAUGAAAUACCUGGCGUUGUAAUAUGCACUGUGCUCGGGGUGUGCCAAGAGAGUGAUGCGUGCCCUUUUAAAGACACCUGCUCCACAAAGGUUUGGUCAGACGGAAUGAUCUCCUCUGUAAAAGGAGCAUUACCUUGGCUUGGAGAGGUGUGCUGUGAGGGCUGACAAGUUAACGAAUGGGAAGUGGGCUGUAAGUGUUCUAAGAACUAUAUUAUUGUCAUCAUGCUUGGAGUCUGGGUAACUCAUGAAGAAGAAGAUGUGGUCUCUGUCCUCCAGGAGCUUGUGAUGUACGCACAUGGAGACAGAAAACAGGACAAGGCAGGAAAUGGUCAAGUCAUCAAGUUGUACGGUAGUGGGAACUGGAGAAGGGUCUAGAGCUCAGGUGGCUCAAGGAUAAUCACACUUGUGGUUGCGUUUUUUGUUUUUUUAAAGAUUAUUUAUUUAUUUAUUCAUUCAUUCAUUCAUUCAUUCAUUCAUUCAUUCACAGAGAGGCAGAGACACAGGCAGAGGGAGAAGCAGGCUCCCUGCAGGGAGUCUGAUAUAGGACUAGAUCCCAGUGACCCCAGGAUCACACCCUGAGCCGAAGGCAGACGCUCAACCACUGAGCCACCCAGGUGUCUUUUGUGGUUGUGUUUUUAUGAAAGUUGCCAAAUGUGUUUUGUAUGAAAGGAAAUAAAAAGGAGAUCACCUUGCCAGCAGAGUCUGUGCUCUGCCUUGUUCAGCAGAGGACAGCGGAGCAUCAGCUUCUAUCCCAACAGCUCCUCCCUGGAAGGUUGACUUUCUUUUUCUUCAAUUGAGCCUGCAGUCCUACAGGGCUUUCAUCCAUUGCCAAGACUCUAGCUUUGGGGAAUUGGCCCUGUGAGAGCUGCUUCUGGGUAUCUGAACAGGAAUCACCAAAUAGUAUUCAGAGGCAAAGGCUGAAAAACUGGCCAUGGGCAUCUGGAUAACAAAAAUGUAACCUAUCAUGCUGACGUCCGUCAAUAGGAAUACAGUUUUCUCUGUGCCAUGUCCCCAAAGGAGUGCAGAUGUUCAUCAGAGAAGGAAAAGACACCGACAAAAGAGGGAGAUUGGGAUGAUGCUCUCAGCCAUAACUCACUGCAGAGUCCAUGUGGCUGGGGGUGGGGUGUGUGUGUGUGUGUAUGUGUGUGUGUGUGUGUGCUGGGAGUUCCACUGCAGUUGACAGAGGAGAGGCCUAUGAUUGGCCUGCACAUUAUUUUGCUUUUGCUCAGCUGUGGGCCAGUAUGUAAGGACGCAAGAUCCCCGGUCCUUCUCUGAAUGGACCAGUUUACUUCCGAAGGCCAGCUGUCUAACAGAUAGAUGCCCAGCCUUCUUUACAGAGGGCGAUGGUCACAGCUCUAUCACCUCUGGAAAACAGUCCAGGUGGGGCUGACUGUGUCAUUUGCAGGGCCCAGUGCAAAAUAAAAAUUUAGGGCCCUUGUUCAAAAAGCAGGAAUGAAGUGCCAUUAAAAGUUCUAAAAGAGGGGAUCCCUGGGUGGCUCAGCAGUUUGGCGCCUGCCUUUGGCCCAGGGCAUGAUCCUGGAUAUCUUGAUCAUAAGAUUUUGCUGGUUUGCCUUUUUGCAAAUUCAUUUAUUAGGUCAUCAAAAGUUAUACUUUCAGCAACUUUAUUUUCAAUUGAUAUAAUUGGAAGUGAAAUUAGUCAUUCUUGGCAAAUGCAAGAUCUCAAAUGAUUUUUGAUAAUUGUUAUUUUUGAGAAGGAUCUCUCUGUUGGUGCAAUGGUUCCUGGAAAUGUUAGGUAUAUUUUAGGGGCUGAAACAACAUUGGGGUAAAUUUCUGGUAAAGUAUUUCAAAAUAAAAAUGUUAGUACGUCUAGAGCUGAUGAUGAGCUUCAUGUAAGUCUGAAUUUAAUUUUAAAAAUAAAUUUAUCCAAUGGCAGUUUAAUGUUUCCUCUGGCAUUUCCUGUAACUUGUAGAGAUUGUACAAGAAAUUGAAAGCAGUUUCAUAAUUAGUGUAUAAUUAAACAUGCUUAUGUAUGCCUUUUGUUGCUUUAUCUUCCAUUAUAAGAAAAAUUAGUUUUAAAUCAUCUCUUAUUAAUAAUUGAUUUAUCUCAAGCUUCAAAGGAAAAUAAUGUCCUUUCUGUUGAAAGUAAUGGUCUGGUCUUUAAAAUUUAUUUUCUAUUUCUCAGCUUGUGGAUAUUUGCUUUGUGGCACUGUGAAAGUUUUUAAAACUAGAGCUUCUAAACUCUUUAAAGGAUUCAAAUAGCUCUCUGACAGGUUUUAUUACAACGUCCGUGCGCACCAUUUCAUUUUGUAGUAAUUUACUGACAGUUUGCUGCCUGAGGCCUGGCAGCCCUGGUUCUCCAACUGGAGAGUCAGAAUGUGUGCAGGUGCUGCAGGGAUGGGCUCUGGGGAUGGCUGGGCACACCGGCCCCCCACUGCUGCCCUGGCUCUGCUUCUGGCGGGGGGGCUCUCUGUCCUUGGGGGCUGCAGCUGCUACUGCUGCCGUGGGUGCUUCUUCCACGAGCACAGCUGGUUUCAGAGCUGGGCCUGGCUGUGCCUUCAGCACACGCCUGAAGCUCUGCUCACCGGCCUGAAGGCAAUGUGUGUGCGCGCGGGGGCCAGCAUACCUCCUUUGCUCACGCGUGCUUUGUCGUCUCAUCAGACUUUGCUUGCAAAACAGAAAUUCAAAAAAAAAAAAAUGUCAUCUGAAAUUUCAGGGUAGUGGCUACGGAGCAUUAAACCAAAUCUAGGGGAUCCCUGGGUGGCUCAGUGGUUUAGUGCCGGCCUUCAGCCCAGGGCAUGAUCCUAGAGACCCGGGAUCGACUCCCUGCAUGG
rnacentral:lncRNA from 1 species